UAGGGAAUCUUCGGCAAUGGACGAAAGUCUGACCGAGCAACGCCGCGUGAGUGAAGAAGGUUUUCGGAUCGUAAAACUCUGUUGUUAGAGAAGAACAAGGACGUUAGUAACUGAACGUCCCCUGACGGUAUCUAACCAGAAAGCCACGGCUAACUACGUGCCAGCAGCCGCGGUAAUACGUAGGUGGCAAGCGUUGUCCGGAUUUAUUGGGCGUAAAGCGAGCGCAGGCGGUUUCUUAAGUCUGAUGUGAAAGCCCCCGGCUCAACCGGGGAGGGUCAUUGGAAACUGGGAGACUUGAGUGCAGAAGAGGAGGGUGGAAUUCCAUGUGUAGCGGUGAAAUGCGUAGAGAUAUGGAGGAACACCAGUGGCGAAGGCGGCUCUCUGGUCUGUAACUGACGAUGAGGCUCGAAAGCGUGGGGAGCAAACAGG
rnacentral:rRNA from 1 species